rnacentral:rRNA from 1 species
CCUACGGGUGGCUGCAGUGAGGAAUAUUGGUCAAUGGGCGCGAGCCUGAACCAGCCAAGUAGCGUGAAGGAUGACUGCCCUACGGGUUGUAAACUUCUUUUAUAAAGGAAUAAAGUGAGGCACGUGUGCCUUUUUGUAUGUACUUUAUGAAUAAGGAUCGGCUAACUCCGUGCCAGCAGCCGCGGUAAUACGGAGGAUCCGAGCGUUAUCCGGAUUUAUUGGGUUUAAAGGGAGCGUAGAUGGGUUGUUAAGUCAGUUGUGAAAGUUUGCGGCUCAACCGUAAAAUUGCAAUUGAUACUGGCAGUCUUGAGUACAGUAGAGGUAGGCAGAAUUCGUGGUGUAGCGGUGAAAUGCUUAGAUAUCACGAAGAAUUCCGAUUGCGAAGGCGGCUUACUAACCGGCCACUGACAUUGAUGCUCGAAAGUGUGGGUAGCAAACAGGAUUAGAUACCCUUGUAGUC